CUACGGGCCGCUCCAGUGGGGAAUCUUGGACAAUGGGCGCAAGCCUGAUCCAGCAAUGCCGCGUGCGUGAAGAAGGCCUUCGGGUUGUAAAGCGCUUUUGUCAGGGGGCAAAGACUGAUGGCUAAUAUCCAUCGGAGUUGAGAGUACCUGAAGAAUAAGGACCGGCUAACUACGUGCCAGCAGCCGCGGUAAUACGUAGGGUCCAAGCGUUAAUCGGAAUUACUGGGCGUAAAGCGUGCGCAGGUGGUUUGUUAAGCACGAUGUGAAAUCCCCGGGCUCAACCUGGGAAUUGCAUUGUGAACUGACUGACUAGAGUACGGCAGAGGGGGGUGGAAUUCCACGUGUAGCAGUGAAAUGCGUAGAGAUGUGGAGGAACACCGAUGGCGAAGGCAACCCCCUGGGCUGAUACUGACACUCAUGCACGAAAGCGUGGGGAGCAAACAGGAUUAGAUACCCUGGUAGUC
rnacentral:rRNA from 1 species